rnacentral:rRNA from 1 species
UACGAAGGGGGCUAGCGUUGCUCGGAAUUACUGGGCGUAAAGCGCACGUAGGCGGCUUUCUGAGUCGGGGGUGAAAUCCUGGAGCUCAACUCCAGAACUGCCUUCGAUACUGGAGAGCUCGAGUCCGGGAGAGGUGAGUGGAACUGCGAGUGUAGAGGUGAAAUUCGUAGAUAUUCGCAAGAACACCAGUGGCGAAGGCGGCUCACUGGCCCGGUACUGACGCUGAGGUGCGAAAGCGUGGGGAGCAAACAGG